rfam:Thiobacillus sp. 65-1059 scnpilot_expt_750_p_scaffold_619, whole genome shotgun sequence.
AAAGCCGAUCAGACAACCGCUGCCAUGCAAGUGGGAGAGGAAAGUCCGGGCUCCACAGAGCAGGAUGCCGGCUAACGGCCGGACGCCGCGAGGCGAGGAACAGGGCCACAGAGACGAGCGUAUUAAGUUACGGUGAAACGCGGUAACCUCCAUCCGGAGCAACACCAAAUAGGCAGGCGAUGAAGCGGCUCGCUGAGUCUGCGGGUAGGUGGCUGGAGCCGGUCAGCAAUGGCCGGCCUAGAGGAAUGGUUGUCCACGACAGAACCCGGCUUAUCGGUCGACUUUCCCA